CUAAUGAUUGGCGGCGACGGUGCCCCGGCGACGGGGUGAAAAGGGAACGUGGUGCGAUGCCACGGCUGCCCCCGCAACUGUAAGCGGUGAGUUCUGCGCCAUCGGCCACUGGAGAACCCCUCCGGGAAGGCGGCGAAGGACCCGGACCCGCGAGCCAGGAGACCUGCCGUCGAGACUGCUUCUCA
rnacentral:ncRNA from 2 species